UACGUAGGGUGCGAGCGUUUAAUCGGAAUUACUGGGCGUAAAGCGUGCGCAGGCGGUCUGUUAAGACCGAUGUGAAAUCCCCGGGCUUAACCUGGGAACUGCAUUGGUGACUGGCAGGCUUUGAGUGUGGCAGAGGGAGGUAGAAUUCCACGUGUAGCAGUGAAAUGCGUAGAGAUGUGGAGGAAUACCGAUAGCGAAGGCAGCCUCCUGGGCCAACACUGACGCUCAUACACGAAGCUGGGGAGCAACAGG
rnacentral:rRNA from 1 species